rnacentral:lncRNA from 1 species
AGUGGAAGAGUCAAUUCAUGUUAUUUUUGAUGAAACUAAUGAUCUUCAAUCAAGAAAGAGAGAGAGUGCUGAUGAUACAAGUAUCAUAGAAAAUGAAAUGAAAGAACUCACCUUCAAUGACUCAAAUAAAUAAAAUAAAAAUCAAUUGGAUGAAAGCAUCAAUGAUCAGAAUAUUCAAAAAUAAUCUCAAGACACAGGUAAUCUUCUAAGGGAAUGGAAGUAUGUUUACAAUCACCUUAAAAAAUUAAUAAUUGAUCAUCCGGCAC